CCUACGGGUGGCAGCAGUGGGGAAUAUUGCACAAUGGGGGAAACCCUGAUGCAGCGACGCCGCGUGAGUGAAGAAGUAAUUCGUUAUGUAAAGCUCUAUCAGCAGGGAAGAAAAUGACAGUACCUGGACAAGAAGCCCCGGCUAACUACGUGCCAGCAGACGCGGUAAUACGUAGGGGGCAAGCGUUAUCCGGAUUUACUGGGUGUAAAGGGAGCGCAGGCGGCGUGGCAAGUCAGAUGUGAAAACCCGGGGCCCAACCCCGGGAGUGCAUUUGAAACUGCCAUGCUGGAGUGCCGGAGAGGUAAGCGGAAUUCCUAGUGUAGCGGUGAAAUGCGUAGAUAUUAGGAGGAACACCAGUGGCGGAGGCGGCUUACUGGACGGUAACUGACGCUGAGGCUCGAAAGCGUGGGGAGCAAACAGGAUUAGAUACCCGGGUAGUC
rnacentral:rRNA from 1 species